GUCGAACGGUGAUGCCCAGCUUGCUGGGCGGAUCAGUGGCGAACGGGUGAGUAACACGUGAGUAACCUGCCCCAGACUCCGGGAUAAGCCUUGGAAACGAGGUCUAAUACUGGAUACGAGACGCCCCUGCAUGGGGAGUGUCUGGAAAGAUUUAUCGGUCUGGGAUGGACUCGCGGCCUAUCAGCUUGUUGGUGGGGUAAUGGCCUACCAAGGCGACGACGGGUAGCCGGCCUGAGAGGGCGACCGGCCACACUGGGACUGAGACACGGCCCAGACUCCUACGGGAGGCAGCAGUGGGGAAUAUUGCACAAUGGGCGAAAGCCUGAUGCAGCGACGCCGCGUGAGGGAUGAAGGCCUUCGGGUUGUAAACCUCUUUCAGCAGGGAAGAAGCGCAAGUGACGGUACCUGCAGAAGAAGCGCCGGCUAACUACGUGCCAGCAGCCGCGGUAAUACGUAGGGCGCAAGCGUUGUCCGGAAUUAUUGGGCGUAAAGAGCUCGUAGGCGGUUUGUCGCGUCUGGUGUGAAAACUCAAGGCUCAACCUUGAGCUUGCAUCGGGUACGGGCAGACUAGAGUGCGGUAGGGGUGACUGGAAUUCCUGGUGUAGCGGUGGAAUGCGCAGAUAUCAGGAGGAACACCGAUGGCGAAGGCAGGUCACUGGGCCGCAACUGACGCUGAGGAGCGAAAGCAUGGGGAGCGAACAGGAUUAGAUACCCUGGUAGUCCAUGCCGUAAACGUUGGGCACUAGGUGUGGGGCUCAUUCCACGAGUUCCGUGCCGCAGCAAACGCAUUAAGUGCCCCGCCUGGGGAGUACGGCCGCAAGGCUAAAACUCAAAGGAAUUGACGGGGGCCCGCACAAGCGGCGGAGCAUGCGGAUUAAUUCGAUGCAACGCGAAGAACCUUACCAAGGCUUGACAUACACCGGAAACUUCCAGAGAUGGUUGCCCCGCAAGGUCGGUGUACAGGUGGUGCAUGGUUGUCGUCAGCUCGUGUCGUGAGAUGUUGGGUUAAGUCCCGCAACGAGCGCAACCCUCGUCUUAUGUUGCCAGCACGUCAUGGUGGGGACUCAUAAGAGACUGCCGGGG
rnacentral:rRNA from 1 species